AAAAAGAUAAGCUAAAUAAGCUAGUGGGUUCAUACCCCAUUUAUGAAGGUCGAGUCCUUCUCUUUUUA
rnacentral:tRNA from 1 species